rnacentral:rRNA from 1 species
ACGCACGCUGGCGGCGUGCUUCACCCAUGCAAGUCGAACGGAAAGGCCCUGCUUUUGUGGGGUGCUCGAGUGGCGAACGGGUGAGUAACACGUGAGUAACCUGCCCUUGACUUUGGGAUAACUUCAGGAAACUGGGGCUAAUACCGGAUAGGAGCUCCUGCUGCAUGGUGGGGGUUGGAAAGUUUCGGCGGUUGGGGAUGGACUCGUGGCUUAUCAGCUUGUUGGUGGGGUAGUGGCUUACCAAGGCUUUGACGGGUAGCCGGCCUGAGAGGGUGACCGGCCACAUUGGGACUGAGAUACGGCCCAGACUCCUACGGGAGGCAGCAGUGGGGAAUAUUGCACAAUGGGCGGAAGCCUGAUGCAGCAACGCCGCGUGCGGGAUGACGGCCUUCGGGUUGUAAACCGCUUUCGCCUGUGACGAAGCGUGAGUGACGGUAAUGGGUAAAGAAGCACCGGCUAACUACGUG